CCUACGGGAGGCAGGAGUAGGGAAUAUUGCGCAAUGGGGGAAACCCUGAAGCAGCAACGCCGCGUGGAGGAUGAAGGUUUUCGGAUUGUAAACUCCUUUUGUUAGAGAAGAUAAUGACGGUAUCUAACGAAUAAGCACCGGCGAACUCCGUGCCAGCAGCCGCGGUAAUACGGAGGGUGCAAGCGUUACUCGGAAUUACUGGGCGUAAAGAGGGCGUAGGCGGGAUGGCAAGUCAGAUGUGAAAUCCUAUGGCUUAACCAUAGAACUGCAUUUGAAACUGUUAUUCUAGAGUAUGGGAGAGGUAGGUGGAAUUCUUGGUGUAGGGGUAAAAUCCGUAGAGAUCAGGAGGAACACUGAUUGCGAAGGCGACCUGCUAGAACAUAACUGACGCUGAUGCGUGAAAGCGUGGGGAGCAAACAGGAUUAGAUACCCGGGUAGUC
rnacentral:rRNA from 1 species